UACGGGAGGCAGCAGUGGGGAAGUAUUGCACAAUGGGCGCAAGCCUGAUGCAGCCAUGCCGCGUGUAUGAAGAAGGCCUUCGGGUUGUAAAGUACUUUCAGUCGUGAGGAAGGUGUUAAGGUUAAUAACCUUAGCAAUUGACGUUAGCGACAGAAGAAGCACCGGCUAACUCCGUGCCAGCAGCCGCGGUAAUACGGAGGGUGCGAGCGUUAAUCGGAAUUACUGGGCGUAAAGGGCACGCAGGCGGUUAAUUAAGUUGGAUGUGAAAUCCCCGGGCUUAACCUGGGAAUGGCAUUCAAGACUGGUUAGCUAGAGUCUUGUAGAGGGGGUAGAAUUCCAUGUGUAGCGGUGAAAUGCGUAGAGAUGUGGAGGAAUACCGGUGGCGAAGGCGGCCCCCUGGGACAAAGACUGACGCUCAUGUGCGAAAGCGUGGGGAGCAAAACAGGGAUUAGAUACC
rnacentral:rRNA from 1 species